GCGUUAAAAGGAGAGAAGGUUAGCACUCCACUUGACAAGGAUGGAAGAGGUUCUAUUGACCUUCUUCAACACACAUACGGUUAAAGCAUUGCCUACUGUCUUACCAUGUUU